rnacentral:rRNA from 2 species
AGGUUGAUAUUCCUGUACCACCUCUUUAUCGUUUGAGCAAUGGAGGGACGCAGAAGGAUAGAAGAAGCGUGCGAUUGGUUGUGCACGUCCAAGCAGUUAGGCUGAUAAGUAGGCAAAUCCGCUUAUCAUAAAGGCUGAGCUGUGAUGGGGAAGCUCCUUAUGGAGCGAAGUCUUUGAUUCCCCGCUGCCAAGAAAAGCUUCUAGCGAGAUAAAAGGUGCCUGUACCGCAAACCGACACAGGUAGGCGAGGAGAGA